rnacentral:misc_RNA from 1 species
CUUUUCCUUUUGGAAAAACAAAAGGUGGGUGCUUUUGAUUUUUGUAUAUAACUUGGAUAAAUAUGAUGGGAUGAUGGGUUGUGUUGUUUGGAAUUGUCUUUGAUAUUAAGAUAAUUGUCAAAUUUUUAUUUUUUUAGCGGGUUUGGGGUUCUAUUUGAGAUGUGGGUUGUAUUUUUUUGAAUUGGCGUUUUUGAAAUAUUGAUAGGUUUCGGGUUUUGAUAGGUUUGUGGUUUUGAGUGCUGGAUUAGGGCUUUUGUGUUUCAAUUAGGCUAAAUUUGGUACCUUUCAUCUGAUAAUUUUUUUGUCAUUUCUAUUCUUAAACUUGGUUGUUUUAAUGUCAGAUUCUGACAUGUUUGUUGGCAUUUUUUAAAUUUCGUAGUCACUUUUACAUUUGAGCUCAUGAAUUUUAUAUCUAAGUUGGUAUAUUGAUCGG